rnacentral:rRNA from 1 species
GACGAACGCUGGCGGCGUGCUUAACACAUGCAAGUCGAACGGAAAGGCCCUGCUUUUGUGGGGUGCUCGAGUGGCGAACGGGUGAGUAACACGUGAGUAACCUGCCCUUGACUUUGGGAUAACUUCAGGAAACUGGGGCUAAUACCGGAUAGGAGCUCCUGCUGCAUGGUGGGGGUUGGAAAGUUUCGGCGGUUGGGGAUGGACUCGCGGCUUAUCAGCUUGUUGGUGGGGUAGUGGCUUACCAAGGCUUUGACGGGUAGCCGGCCUGAGAGGGUGACCGGCCACAUUGGGAGUGAGAUACGGCCCCGACUCCUCCGGGAGGGAGCAGUGGGGAAUAUUGCACAAUGGGCGGAAGACUGAUGCAGCAACGCCGCGUGCGGGAUGACGGCCUUCGGGUUGUGAACCGCCUUCGCCUGUGACGAAGCGUGAGUGACGGUAAUGGGUAAAGAAGCACCGGCUAACUACGUG